CCAACGCCGCGUGGGCCGCCUACUACUCACACUACUACCAGCAGCCCCCGGGCCCCGUCCCCGGCCCCGCACCGGCCCCUGCGGCCCCACCGGCUCAGGGUGAGCCCCCUCAGCCCCCACCCACCGGCCAGUCGGACUACACUAAGGCCUGGGAAGAGUAUUACAAAAAGAUCGGCCAGCAGCCCCAGCAGCCCGGAGCACCCCCACAGCAGGACUACACGAAGGCUUGGGAGGAGUACUACAAGAAGCAAGCGCAAGUGGCCACCGGAGGGGGUCCAGGAGCUCCCCCAGGCUCCCAGCCAGACUACAGUGCCGCCUGGGCGGAAUAUUACAGACAGCAGGCCGCUUACUACGGACAGACCCCAGGUCCUGGCGGCCCCCAGCCGCCGCCCACGCAGCAGGGACAGCAGCAGGCAAGUGGGAAUUGCCACCCUCCUCCUCCUCCUUUCUCCUUCCAACCCCCGGCCACCGUCCAUCCUGCCUUAGUGGGUAGCGCCGGAAACCCCUUCCCCUGCGGGGUGUGCCCUUGAUGCCUGCAGCGGGGGCCGUGUGGCCGGAGGUCUCCGGGAGUCCCCACGCACCGCCAGGGAAGCAUUCGCUGGGUCCAGAGGUUAAACGAAGAGGCCUCCCUGCGCCGGCUGCUUGUUCCUGUGUGCCGCUGUCGUGAUGCUGGGGAGCGCUGAGACUCGCAGGCGGGACUUCUGAACUGCUGGGGAGUCGGGGGGCAGGCAGACAGCGCGGACGGUGGGCACCGGCCCGGCCGCCACCACCUCGCUCACAAUCUGGCCACUUGGGAAGAAAACGUCUAUUUUUUCCCCUUCUCUGCAUCACUUUUUUGGUUUUUGUUCUUU
rnacentral:lncRNA from 1 species